GAAUGCAAUGAUACUAGCACUAACGUAUCGGAUCUCAUUAGAACUUCAAAGUUAAGAGUAUUAAAAUGAAAGUAGUACUAAGACGAGUGAACUCCUGCAAAAUCCUCGUGCUUUGUUAU
rnacentral:rRNA from 2 species